GCCCAGCCGUAAACUUUUAUCUACAUUUUAAUCGCCAGGGAACUACGAGCUAAGCUUAAAACCCAAAGGACUUGACGGUACCCCAUAUCCCCCUAGAGGAGCCUGUCCUGUAAUCGAUAAUCCACGUUUAACCUCACCAUUUUUAGUUAAUCAGCCUGUAUACCUCCGUCGUCAGCUUACCACGUGAGCGUAGAUUAGUGAGCUCAAUGUUAUUUUACCAACACGUCAGGUCAAGGUGCAGCAAAUGAAGUGGGAAGAGAUGGGCUACACUUUCUAUUAUAGAAAAAACGAAAAACUACUUAUGAAAUUCUAGUUGGAAGGCGGAUUUAGCAGUAAAAGGGAAUCAGUAUGUCCCUUUUAACUCGGCACUGGGGUGUGUACACACCGCCCGUCACCCU
rnacentral:rRNA from 1 species